GACGUAGGGCGCGAGCGUUGUCCGGAUUUAUUGGGCGUAAAGAGCUCGUAGGCGGCUUGUCGCGUCGACUGUGAAAACCCGAGGCUCAACUUCGGGCUUGCAGUCGAUACGGGCAGGCUAGAGUUCGGUAGGGGAGACUGGAAUUCCUGGUGUAGCGGUGAAAUGCGCAGAUAUCAGGAGGAACACCGAUGGCGAAGGCAGGUCUCUGGGCCGAUACUGACGCUGAGGAGCGAAAGCGCGGGGAGCGAACAGG
rnacentral:rRNA from 1 species